GGCGGCGUGCUUAACACAUGCAAGUCGAACGGAGUAUCUCUCCCGAGACCAAAGAAGCUUGCUUCUGAGGAAUCAUUGAGAUACUAGUGGCGGACGGGUGAGUAACGCGUGGGUAACCUGCCUCACACAGGGGGAUAACAGUUGGAAACGACUGUUAAUACCGCAUAAGCGCACAGUACCGCAUGAUACAGUGUGAAAAAACUCCGGUGGUGUGAGAUGGACCCGCGUCUGAUUAGCUAGUUGGCGAGGUAACGGCCCACCAAGGCGACGAUCAGUAGCCGGCCUGAGAGGGUGAACGGCCACAUUGGGACUGAGACACGGCCCAAACUCCUACGGGAGGCAGCAGUGGGGAAUAUUGCACAAUGGGGGAAACCCUGAUGCAGCCGACGCCGCGUGAGCGAUGAAGUAUUUCGGUAUGUAAAGCUCUAUCAGCAGGGAAGAUAAUGACGGUACCUGACUAAGAAGCACCGGCUAAAUACGUGCCAGCCGCCGC
rnacentral:rRNA from 1 species